UCGGCUGCAUCAGCUUCACGUGACGUGCGCAGCUGGGCCGGCCUUGCUGAAUUAUUCACCCGUGUCUUAUUGCGUACUUGCUGUUUCCUGGGCGGGCUCGCCCGCCCUCAGGACAAACCAUAAGACCUUUUUGCACAUAGCAAUCAGACGUCAGUACCACACUGUAAAUAAAUUACAACUUUCCAACCAACGGAUCUCUUGGUUCUUGGCAAUCGCACUGGAAGGAACGCCAGCGCGAAAUGCCGAUACGUAGUGUAGAAUAUGCAGAAUAUCAGUGAAUACAUCUGACAUACUUUGAACGCACAUUGCGCCCUUUGGUAUUCCAAAGGGCAUGCCUGUAUCGAGCGUACAUUUGUACCACUCAAUGCUUUGCUUGGUGUUUGGGCGUCUUGUCUCCCCGUUUGCGGGAGACUCGCACUUAAAGUCAUUGGCAGCCGGCACUACUGGUUUCGGAGCGCAGCACAAGUCGCGCUCUCUUCCAGGCCUAAGGUCAGCGUCCAGGUAAGCCAUUUUGUUCCAACCAUAUUGAACUCGGAUCCCGUAAGGGUUACCGCUUAACUUUAAGGUCUUAUCUAGCGGGGAAUUUAUCCG
rnacentral:rRNA from 1 species